rnacentral:rRNA from 1 species
UACGUAGGUGGCAAGCGUUAUCCGGAUUUACUGGGCGUAAAGGGAACGCAGGCGGUCUUUUAAGUCUGAUGUGAAAGCCUUCGGCUUAACCGGAGUAGUGCAUUGGAAACUGGGAGACUUGAGUGCAGAAGAGGAGAGUGGAACUCCAUGUGUAGCGGUGAAAUGCGUAGAUAUAUGGAAGAACACCAGUGGCGAAAGCGGCUCUCUGGUCUGCAACUGACGCUGAGGUUCGAAAGCGUGGGUAGCAAACAGG